GGGUGAUGCGAGUUCCAAACCAUUGGCUAUCCAUGACUUGAUUUCCGAGUCGGAAAAUAUAAUUCCGCCGUCAUCUUCCUGCUCUGAGGAUGGAUGUUUUCUAUUGUCGUCUGAACGAGGAGACCUGUAAGGUGAUCUGUAAGACGAUCUGUGUGGUGACCUGUGUGGUGACCUUCGUGGCGAACCAUAUGUUCGUGAAAGUGUUCGUGACUUCCUUCGCGCAAACCUGCGUGUAGGUGAACGGCUUUGUCAAGGGUUGGAGUCUUGUGACGAAUCUCUAUGCCUUUGUACGGAUGUAGAUUCUCUUCUCCUUGGUAACGAACCGUUGCGUGCAGGUUCAUGACGAGCGUCCGUAUCUGACGUCGAUGAUGAUCUACGUGGGUUCGGCGAACGUAGUUGGUGCGGGUUCCACGUUGGUAUGGCUGCCAGGUGUUCGUGCAGACGCUAUAGUCGAGCUCAAAUCUUCCUGUAUGCUCUGCAGGACGUUGGUUCCCAACGGACGUGGUGUGCGCUCAGUUGACCUUCACUCAGGUUCGUCGCAGACGUUGUCUUCGUCGCAGCUCUCUCGCGUGUGAACCGUUGUUCCAUCAGAUCCAACAUCUGUUGGGUAAAUUGCUGCAUAAAGGCGCCCGGGUUGAAGGUCUGCAUUGUCUGUUGUACUGACGACGCAUCUGAGACGGAUGAGGCUUCUUCCGAAUGGCGUUGAUCCUUCGUGCCGAACGUCUGCGUUGAAAUGUUGUCCUGCGUGGUCACUGUAGAAGACGUCUUCAUGUUCUUUACCUUCUGGUCAUCUUUCCACAAUCUAUUUAAAAAUAUAUGACGUCAGAAAACAUAUUGUAAAUGUAUAUAAUUACUAUUACUUUUAUUUGAAACACAGAGAUACAGUAUGCAAAACAUAUUCAAAGACGUUUAUUCAUGGUAUGAGGGGAUUUGUGAAAGUGUAUUAAUUAUACUCAUGUGAAUGUAUUCUACAUGUACUAUGUAAACUGUGGAAAUAAGGAUGGUAAAUAAAAAAAAUGCAAAAACAUUACCAGCUAUUCACUUUAUAUUUCCAAUCAUAUAUUUAUAAAUUGGGUUUAAUAAUCACA